rnacentral:rRNA from 1 species
ACUCCUACGGGAGGCAGCAGUGGGGAAUAUUGGACAAUGGGCGAAAGCCUGAUCCAGCAAUGCCGCGUGUGUGAAGAAGGCCUUCGGGUUGUAAAGCACUUUUAUCAGGAGCGAAAUACUGCCGGCUAAUACCCGGCGGGGCUGACGGUAC